ACUUUAUGCAAGGCGGAGUUUGGUUUUUCUGGGGUGAUAGUGGAAAGUUGACAGCUAAGUCACCCUUACUGCCACUCUACAGAACCGUACAUGAGAUUAUCACCUCAUACGGCCUCCUUCCGGGAGCCCGAGCCAUCAGUGAGAUACUACUCAUGAAGUGCUAGAAUUCUAACCUUGUGUUAGGACCUAUGGGCCAAGGGACAGUCUCAGGUAGACAGUUUAUAUGGGGUGUAGGCCUCCCAAAAGGUAACCGAGGCUUGCAAAGUUUUCCUCGGGCCGGACGAAGAUUGGCCCAAGAGUGCAAAGGCAGAAGGGAGCUUAGCUGCAAGAUCCACCCGUCUAGCAGGGAUGUAAGUUGGCCUUAGUGAUCCGACGGUGCCAGUCGCUGAAA
rnacentral:ncRNA from 1 species